CUGCGAUACGUAAUGCGAAUUGCAGAAUUCAGUGAGUCAUCGAAAUUUUGAACGCAUAUUGCACUUCCGGGUUAUGCCUGGAAGUAUGUCUGUAUCAGUGUCCGUA
rnacentral:rRNA from 2 species